GGUUAAGUGACUAAGCGUACACGGUGGAUGCCUGGGCAGUCAGAGGCGAUGAAGGACGUACUAACUUGCGAUAAGCGCAGAUAAGGCAGUAAGAGCCGUUUGAGUCUGCGAUUUCCGAAUGGGGAAACCCAACUGCAUAAGCAGUUACUGUUAACUGAAUACAUAGGUUAACAGAGCAAACCGGGGGAACUGAAACAUCUAAGUACCCCGAGGAGAAGAAAUCAACCGAGAUUCCGGUAGUAGCGGCGAGCGAACCUGGAUUAGCCCUUAAGCACUCGGUGAAGUAGGUGAACAAGCUGGAAAGCUUGGCGAUACAGGGUGAUAGCCCCGUAACCGACGCUUCAUCGAGCGUGAAAUCGAGUAGGGCGGGACACGUGAUAUCCUGUCUGAAUAUGGGGGGACCAUCCUCCAAGGCUAAAUACUCCUGACUGACCGAUAGUGAACCAGUACCGUGAGGGAAAGGCGAAAAGAACCCCUGUGAGGGGAGUGAAAUAGAACCUGAAACCGUGUACGUACAAGCAGUAGGAGCACCUUCGUGGUGUGACUGCGUACCUUUUGUAUAAUGGGUCAGCGACUUAUAUUCAGUGGCAAGGUUAACCGUAUAGGGGAGCCGUAGCGAAAGCGAGUCUUAACUGGGCGCUCAGUCUCUGGAUAUAGACCCGAAACCGGGUGAUCUAGCCAUGGGCAGGUUGAAGGUUGAGUAACAUCAACUGGAGGACCGAACCGACUAAUGUUGAAAAAUUAGCGGAUGACUUGUGGCUAGGGGUGAAAGGCCAAUCAAACUCGGAGAUAGCUGGUUCUCCCCGAAAGCUAUUUAGGUAGCGCCUCGGACGAAUACUACUGGGGGUAGAGCACUGUUAAGGCUAGGGGGUCAUCCCGACUUACCAACCCUUUGCAAACUCCGAAUACCAGUAAGUACUAUCCGGGAGACACACGGCGGGUGCUAACGUCCGUCGUGGAGAGGGAAACAACCCAGACCGCCAGCUAAGGUCCCAAAGUAUUGCUAAGUGGGAAACGAUGUGGGAAGGCUCAGACAGCUAGGAUGUUGGCUUAGAAGCAGCCAUCAUUUAAAGAAAGCGUAAUAGCUCACUAGUCGAGUCGGCCUGCGCGGAAGAUGUAACGGGGCUAAGCAAUACACCGAAGCUGCGGCAAUGAAGUUUACUUCAUUGGGUAGGGGAGCGUUCUGUAAGCCGUUGAAGGUGAAUCGUAAGGUUUGCUGGAGGUAUCAGAAGUGCGAAUGCUGACAUGAGUAACGACAAAGGGGGUGAAAAACCUCCUCGCCGGAAGACCAAGGGUUCCUGUCCAACGUUAAUCGGGGCAGGGUGAGUCGACCCCUAAGGUGAGGCCGAAAGGCGUAAUCGAUGGGAAACGGGUUAAUAUUCCCGUACUUCUGACUAUUGCGAUGGGGGGACGGAGAAGGCUAGGUGGGCCAGGCGACGGUUGUCCUGGUUCAAGUGCGUAGGCUUGAGAGUUAGGUAAAUCCGGCUCUCUUUAAGGCUGAGACACGACGUCGAGCUGCUACGGCAGUGAAGUCAUUGAUGCCAUGCUUCCAGGAAAAGCCUCUAAGCUUCAGAUAGUCAGGAAUCGUACCCCAAACCGACACAGGUGGUCGGGUAGAGAAUACCAAGGCGCUUGAGAGAACUCGGGUGAAGGAACUAGGCAAAAUGGUACCGUAACUUCGGGAGAAGGUACGCUCUUGAUGGUGAAGUCCCUCGCGGAUGGAGCUGACGAGAGUCGCAGAUACCAGGUGGCUGCAACUGUUUAUUAAAAACACAGCACUGUGCAAAAUCGCAAGAUGACGUAUACGGUGUGACGCCUGCCCGGUGCCGGAAGGUUAAUUGAUGGGGUUAGCGCAAGCGAAGCUCUUGAUCGAAGCCCCGGUAAACGGCGGCCGUAACUAUAACGGUCCUAAGGUAGCGAAAUUCCUUGUCGGGUAAGUUCCGACCUGCACGAAUGGCGUAAUGAUGGCCACGCUGUCUCCACCCGAGACUCAGUGAAAUUGAAAUCGCUGUGAAGAUGCAGUGUACCCGCGGCUAGACGGAAAGACCCCGUGAACCUUUACUACAGCUUGGCACUGAACAUUGAACCUACAUGUGUAGGAUAGGUGGGAGGCUAUGAAGACGUGACGCCAGUUGCGUUGGAGCCGUCCUUGAAAUACCACCCUUGUAUGUUUGAUGUUCUAACUUAGACCCAUUAUCUGGGUUGAGGACAGUGCCUGGUGGGUAGUUUGACUGGGGCGGUCUCCUCCCAAAGAGUAACGGAGGAGCACGAAGGUGGGCUAAUCACGGUUGGACAUCGUGAGGUUAGUGCAAUGGCAUAAGCCCGCUUAACUGCGAGAAUGACGGUUCGAGCAGGUGCGAAAGCAGGUCAUAGUGAUCCGGUGGUUCUGUAUGGAAGGGCCAUCGCUCAACGGAUAAAAGGUACUCCGGGGAUAACAGGCUGAUACCGCCCAAGAGUUCAUAUCGACGGCGGUGUUUGGCACCUCGAUGUCGGCUCAUCACAUCCUGGGGCUGAAGUCGGUCCCAAGGGUAUGGCUGUUCGCCAUUUAAAGUGGUACGCGAGCUGGGUUUAGAACGUCGUGAGACAGUUCGGUCCCUAUCUGCCGUGGGCGUUGGAAGAUUGAAGGGGGCUGCUCCUAGUACGAGAGGACCGGAGUGGACGAACCUCUGGUGUUCGGGUUGUGUCGCCAGACGCAUUGCCCGGUAGCUAAGUUCGGAAUUGAUAAGCGCUGAAAGCAUCUAAGCGCGAAGCGAGCCCUGAGAUGAGUCUUCCCUGAUACUUUAAGU
rnacentral:rRNA from 1 species